AACGAACGCUGGCGGCAUGCCUAACACAUGCAAGUCGAACGAGACCUUCGGGUCUAGUGGCGCACGGGUGCGUAACACGUGGGAAUUUGCCUCGGGGUAUGGAAUAACUCAGGGAAACUUGAGCUAAUACCAUAUAAUGUCUUCGGACCAAAGAUUUAUCGCCCUGAGAUAAGCCCGCGUAGGAUUAGCUAGUUGGUGGGGUAAAGGCUCACCAAGGCGACGAUCCUUAGCUGGUCUGAGAGGAUGAUCAGCCACACUGGGACUGAGACACGGCCCAGACUCCUACGGGAGGCAGCAGUGGGGAAUAUUGGACAAUGGGCGAAAGACCUGAUCCAGCAAUGCCGCCGUGAGUGAUGAAGGCCGUCGGUUGGUUAAAGGUACGUACUUUAC
rnacentral:rRNA from 1 species